UCUCAUUGCUAAAAAUAAAUCUCUAAUUGUUGCAUCCUCUGGUAAGCCAUAGUAGACGGAGGCAAAUUUCGGGGCUUUUCUCUCAAAUCCUGGAAGAAGACCCUUAUCUAUUUCCUCAAUCAGAUGAGUGUAUGUGCUUACAGCUUCUUCUUCUAAGUAUCCAACAAAUCUGUGUGAAUAUUUUGGAGAAAUUAUAUAAAAUACCGUGUAAAAGAUUAAGAAGGCAAACUGAGUCCCAAUUACACUGACCCUUGUUAAUAUUGAUGGCUUAUUUAUCAGCUGCAGUGAUAUUAGUAGAUGCAUCCUUUCAUUUUCAGCCUCUUCAAGUAGAGUAUGUAUCCAUCCAUUAUCUCUUUUCAUUUUUCGGAGUGAAGAAAAAUGUCUAAGCAUUGCACCAACCAUACCUGGGACGCCGGCUACUGUUUCCAAAAAAAUUAUUCUUCUGCACCAUUGAUAUUCAUUAUGUCCUUUUUUGUACCUAGUUAAUAAAUCGAAACUUUUUCUUAAUGCAAUCACAAGAUAGUAAGACAUUUUGUCUUUAAACCCAUUUGGGCAUAAAUGAGUUUUUUGUACAUUAUUAACUUCUUCUAAGUCCCAAAUGGGAGAAUUAAAUCCGUACUCCUUUCCUUCUAAUAUGGAAGCCGCAUGGUUUGAUUUCUUCAUAAAGUGGCUUCCUACUUUUUCUUCAUUUUCAGCGUCGAAUUUAUUAAUCUGAUCACUUUUGCAUUCCAAAGUCCUUUUUUUGGAAAAAUCCCCUUGAUUAUUACUUGACCUAUCUUUUUCUAAAGUAAUAUAAAGCUUUGAAGUGAUUUUCUGGCCUUUAUUUGAAUGGACUAUAGAGCACAAAUUGUUCAGAUUUACUUUUGAAGAGAGUAGCCAAAGAUGCCUUCCAUAAAAGUAUCUCAAUUUAUUUGUAUUCGAUAGG
rnacentral:antisense_RNA from 1 species